AUGCUGUCGGCGCGGAGCCUGCGGAAGGCGUCCGUCCCGCCGUCCCUUCUCUCCGACCCCUCGCCCGGCUGCCUCCAGCCCACGCGCCUCGCCGUCCACGUGCGUCAAUGGCGACGGCGGAUCCUGCUCCGCGUACUUCGCCUCCGGUUGCCGCGUCUACAAGCUCGAGAUAUCCAUGGAAGAAGAGAUGCUGUCCAGAGGAAAAGAGAGCCUGUUGAUUCCUAUCAGUGCGCAGGUGAUAGCUGCUUGAUUUUGGGAACUGUCGACGCUUACAGUCACCUCAUUGUAUCCCGUUUGGACACUGUGGCAGAGGACAUCGACAGGGCGUCCUAUUCAGUACCACCUCGUGAUAGUGGCGUCGGAGAAGGAAGUUGGGCUGGGUUGUGUUUUAGUCCAACACACCAAUCCACGGUAGCUGUUGCCCGUGAAUUGUGUAAGAGCAUUGAUAUCUAUGAUCAAGAUAUUCAUAUUCGGAGUUUACGUGCGUUAUGGUGCCCAUCUUCAGUAAGGUUUGCUCAAGGGAGUGAAAGUAGUUCGAUAUUGACAAUUACUGAAGGUCCUCAGCUGAGCAUCUGGGACUUCAGAAUGCAUAACAACGGUGGAUGUGUACAACGCAUUUCUGGUCCUACUGGAGGCAUAUUAUACUCAGUCUGUACCUCUCCUUCAGGACUGAUUGCUGUCGGUGGAACUGAUCGUGCUGUCACAGUCUAUGAUCCUCGCAGGUGGUCAGCCUUAUCAAGAUGGGUGGGCUGCUCCAAGUAUGAGAUUACUGGUCUUUCGUUUUCGUCAGUGGACCAAUCCUUCAUAUACGUCCAAGGUGUUGAUUAUGAGAUUACUUGUGGACGCUGGAGAGAAAGUAAGUGCGCAUUCUCAUUUCGAGGUGAUUCGAACUGGCUGGGCUUUUCAAAGUGUGCGAAUACAGAUGUGGUUGCUGGGUGGUGCGAGUCUGGAAGUAUCUUCGUUGCCGAUGUUAGGCAGGAUCUUCUCUCGGUAAUUGGGGUUUAA
rnacentral:rRNA from 1 species